rnacentral:lncRNA from 1 species
UUUUGAAUGGGAAGACUGGAGGUCUCUGAAACAUUUCUUUACCACAGAACAUGGGAUUAGGAGUCUAAGAAGACCCAGCUGGCUGGAGUUCAUGAGACAAAGGACUAAAGAUAAGAGAGCUACAUGGAAGGCUCUCUGGAGAUCUGUGGAGGGUCAUUUUUGGACAUUAUUUAGAAUGCCACCUUCCCAGCAUGGUCACAUCCUCAACAGACAAGAUGAAGGGCCAGAAGCAGAAAAGUGGCAUUAGUCUAUGUAAACAAG